AUACUUCUGUAGCAGGGGAGAUACCAUGGUCACGAAGGCGGUUCUCCCAGGGUGAGGCCCAGCCGUUACACUGCAGCUGUGCUGACCCCUGCGAAUUCCCCGAAUGUGGGAAUCAUCACUGCAUCAUUUCUGGUAGUGGGGGACUGCGUUUGCACUCUCCUCUG